rnacentral:rRNA from 1 species
GAUGAACGCUAGCUACAGGCUUAACACAUGCAAGUCGAGGGGAAACGAUAGAGAAAGCGUGCUUUUUCUAGGCGUCGACCGGCGCACGGGUGAGUAACGCGUAUCCAACCUGCCCAUCACUCUGGGAUAACCUUGCGAAAGUAAGACUAAUACCCAAUGACGUCUCUAGAAGACAUCUGAAAGAGACUAAAGAUUUCUCGGUGAGGGAUGGGGAUGCGUCUGCUUAGCUUGUUGGCGGGGUAACGGCCCACCAAGGCGACGAUCGGUAGGGGUUCUGAGAGGAAGGUCCCCCACAUUGGAACUGAGACACGGUCCAAACUCCUACGGGAGGCAGCAGUGAGGAAUAUUGGUCAAUGGACGAGAGUCUGAACCAGCCAAGUAGCGUGCAGGAUGACGGCCCUAUGGGUUGUAAACUGCUUUUAUAAGGGAAUAAAGUGAGUCUCGUGAGACUUUUUGCAUGUACCUUAUGAAUAAGGACCGGCUAAUUCCGUGCCAGCCGCCGCGGUAA